UACAGGGGGUGCAAACGUUGCUCGGAAUCAUUGGGCGUAAAGCGCACGUAGGCGGUUCGUUAUGUCGGAUGUGAAAGCCCUUGGCUUAACCGAGGAAGUGCAUCCGAAACUGGCGAGCUAGAGUACGAAAGAGGAUCGCGGAAUUCCCGGUGUAGAGGUGAAAUUCGUAGAUAUCGAGAGGAACACCGGUGGCGAAGGCGGCGAUCUGGACGAUGACUGACGCUGAGACGCGAAAGCGUGGGGAGCAAACAGG
rnacentral:rRNA from 1 species